GUCAGGAUGGCCGAGCGGUCUAAGGCGCCAGACUCAAGAUCUGAGGGCGUGGGUUCGAAUCCCACUUCUAACA